UACAGAGGUCUCGAGCGUUAGGCGGAAUCACUGGGCUUAAAGCGUGUGUAGGCGGAUCGGUAAGUACCUUGUGAAAUCCCACGGCUUAACCGUGGAACUGCUUGGUAUACUGCCAGUCUUGAGCCAUCUAGGGGCUACCGGAACAAAUGGUGGAGCGGUGAAAUGCGUAGAUAUCUGGAGGAACACCGGUGGCGAAGGCGGCAUCCUGGACCAACACUGACGCUGAGGAGCGAAAGCCAGGGGAGCGAACGGG
rnacentral:rRNA from 1 species